ensembl:lncRNA
GUGAACCCUCAGGAGUAGGAAAGGGACAUUCAUUCUCUGCUUGACCUUUUAUACACCUAGCUCAAAGGGGAGGACCCUUGGCCUUGGAAGUGUAGCCCUUGCUUCCAGAAUUAGGUGAAUCCUGCCAUUGGUCAGCUCAGGACCAUAAAAGGCCAAACCUUAUUUGGAAAGGAAGCUUUGUGCCCUUUCAGAUGGCACUGGGUCCUAUGAAAUCUUUUACAUCAUCUGAUGAGCAGGAAUUCUCACAACCAACACAGAAGACAGAUGGGUGGUGUUUUGUCAUAAACCUCCGUCUUAGGUAUUGAGCAGUAUACUCAGCCAGCAUGAGAAAACUUUUUUCAACUUUCUUGGAGAUUUAGGAAUAAUAAAAUGC